CAGCGCCUGUUUUAAUUAGUUCGAGUUAUCGCGAGUGCACUGUAUUUAUAUUUUAUGCGGAUUAUUUUUAUGCGAUUUUGAUUUUGUGCGUUUUGUAUUUCAUCCAAAAAUUUCUUGCAAACACAUAUGUAUGUACAUAUAGAAUUAUUUAGGAAGAGAUGGUUUUAAUACCUUCAGCCAUGAUGAUAAAGAAACUUCGCAGAAAGUCGUUUUCUAAUUAAUGACCCCAAUUCUUAACGAGUCUUUAAAUUACAACGUGAGCUGCAGAACUGCAAGAGUGGAUAUCAAAAGAAAGAGCUACACAGAACGAGAAUAAAGUUUGUGAAAAUCCAUAGUCUUUACCGCAAAUAUUUCUUGCAGAGAGAGACUCUUCUGAUAACGAAGAUGCUCAGAGGGGUUGCUGUUGCCAAGAACAGUACGGACUUGGCUUAGUCCAAGGCAUCCGUCCAGGAGAUGUUGCACUGAUAAAUCUGGUCUAUAUUAUUUAAUUUGUAGUAGUGCUAAUAGAUGUCCGAAAUCAUGCGUGAAUUUGCUGUGUGCUUUAUUCUCACGCUCAUCAGCGACUUGGUUGCCUUUGGAUCCAGCAUGACCAGGAACCUACAUAAUUUUUAUUGCAUCUUUUUUUUCUCUUGUAAAUAAUAUUGUUACAAUCGGGAACCAACUGGCAAAAAUAGUGAACGAGAGGCGACAGCAGAUAGUGAGACAGU